UUUUUUUUCACCUAAUUACUGAAAUGCUGCCGCGUUGGAUGAAUCAACAUCUUUGCCUCCUUAUCUCGGUCAUUAACAAUGUUGCUUUAAUCUUGGAUCGAGCUUGUUCUACAUUUAAUCUGAGAUCUCAAUUCAGGUGAAAGGUAGUCGCUUAAAUAGAUAGACAGAUGGCAAUCAUAGUUGAAGGAGCUUGUCAUGAGGCAACUGAUUCAAAAUCCUUAGGAUACGAGCUCAAGGUCAGUGGUUAUGGUUCCACAUGCAAGGUUGGAUAGUCAGUAUCACCAAGUCGUUGAUCAGGUUUGAAUUCUUUACCUGAUUUCAACGCAGUCGAUUGGGGAUUGCCUCCAUUUGAAAAUGCAUCAACUAAACUCGAUUAGUUUUGCUUGAUCGUGAUCCUGAUGUUCCUAAGCAGAGCCUAUUAUGAGUUGAAAAUUCAGAUUUUGGGGCUUUGCCUCUAGUUUUUAUUCAUAAAAUAUUCAGCUUCAAUUAUUUAUUUUAGAUACUAAAGGUCCCUUAGUAGAGAAAUGAAGAAACUAUGAAUUUGUUAUAUUGCAACUCAUAUAUGCCCGCAUGAUAUUUCUUUUGAUAUGCUAAACUCCAUUCUCCCAAGUGGCCCUUUUUACCUAUGAGGUUAUCUCUCCCUUGUCAUAUGGAGUUGCAUGUCAAAAGUCUCAAAUGUAGUCCUCUACCCAUUUAAAAUGUCAAGAAUCAUAAAUGCAGUUCUAUACAUUUUAUAA